CGAAAUUAGCACCGCACAAUCAACCACCGUCCUGUCCAUAAAACGAAGUUACGAAGUUCCAGUUCGCGUAUGACUUUUGCGGUAUCGUUCAUGAUUAAUCACGUGGUCAUACGGAUGCCGUAUUCACGGGAUCGCGAUGUUCUCACCAAAGUAUGCCAAUUUUAUUAGCCGUGCAAAGGUCAAGGUUGAAGUAUGUUCCGCUUUUCUAUCUCUGGACGGAUAAAUACUCCUAUUUAAUACGCAAACAUAUAUCAUCCACAGUAAGAAGAUGUAUCUACUACCUUCUCCAAGUCAACAUAGCAAAGAAACUAC
rnacentral:misc_RNA from 1 species